GACGAAGGGGGCUAGCGUUGUUCGGAAUUACUGGGCGUAAAGCGAGUGUAGGUGGUUGUCCAAGUUGGAUGUGAAAUCCCCAGGCUCAACCUGGGAACUGCGUCUGAUACUGGUUGGCUUGAAUCCGGGAGAGGGAUGCAGAAUUCCAGGUGUAGCGGUGAAAUGCGUAGAUAUCUGGAGGAAUACCGGUGGCGAAGGCGGCAUCCUGGACCGGCAUUGACGCUGAGGAGCGAAAGCCAGGGGAGCAAACGGG
rnacentral:rRNA from 1 species